rnacentral:rRNA from 1 species
GAUGAACGCUGGCGGCGUGCCUAAUACAUGCAAGUCGAGCGAAUGGAUUAAGAGCUUGCUCUUAUGAAGUUAGCGGCGGACGGGUGAGUAACACGUGGGUAACCUGCCCAUAAGACUGGGAUAACUCCGGGAAACCGGGGCUAAUACCGGAUAACAUUUUGAACUGCAUGGUUCGAAAUUGAAAGGCGGCUUCGGCUGUCACUUAUGGAUGGACCCGCGUCGCAUUAGCUAGUUGGUGAGGUAACGGCUCACCAAGGCAACGAUGCGUAGCCGACCUGAGAGGGUGGUCGGCAACGCUGGGACUGGAACACGGCCCAGACUCCUACGGGAGGCAGCAGUAGGGAAUCUUCCGCAAUGGACGAAAGUCUGACGGAGCAACGCCGCGUGAGUGAUGAAGGCUUUCGGGUCGUAAAACUCUGUUGUUAGGGAAGAACAAGUGCUAGUUGAAUAAGCUGGCACCUUGACGGUACCUAACCAGAAAGCCACGGCUAACUACGUGCCAGCAGCCGCCGUAAGAC